CAGAAGAUGUGGGAUAAAGUCCUGCAAGUCUUAUCAGGAAUUAGAAGAUUUUCACUUCUGC
rnacentral:tRNA from 1 species